ACUACACAGAGAAACCGUGCUUCAAAAAAC
rnacentral:piRNA from 1 species